AUUUCCCCAUGGUCAACAUAGGUUGCUCAGAAGAGAGGUGCCACCAAUUUUCUGAGGAGUUCAUACCUGAGCAUCUAUAGGGGAGACUCAGUCCCUGAGCAUAAACUUUCACUGUGUGAUCCCAGGCAUACAGUGAGUACCCCUUGCCUGGAUGUCCUCAUCUCCGGCAGCAAAGUGCAAUGGUGAUCAUAUCUAUCCUGUAUCCACUUCCCAUGGGAACAGAGGGAAGAAUUGAGACUUUCCAAAUUUGAAUUUGGUUUGCUCAAGUCCUGCUCUCUCCACCUUGGAAUGAAUUGGGAGGCACAGAAAUGAUAUGUCCUGAAGAUAUAAAACAGCACAGCUCUGACCUUAAACUUGCUGGGCCAAGAGCCCCAUAAAGUCCCAGAUGUCACCGAUGCCACCUUCCUAGAGAAGUACCCAUACCAGACAACAGUCUUUCUCUACAAUCCAUCCUACGUGCUGCAGACCUUCAGGGUAUUUUCCAGAAUAUCUACUCAUUUCAGGAAAUGCAACUCCUUCUUUGCUGAUACCCUGCUUAUGGCCAUGAAAACAAUAUAAACAAAAAGAAUUGAUGCAGUCAGACACGGUAGCCUAUGCCUGUAAUUCCAAUGCCAGAGAGGCAGAGAUUUGCAAGUUUGUGGCAAGUAUGGUUGCACUGUGAAGC
rnacentral:lncRNA from 1 species